UACGAAGGGGGCUAGCGUUGUUCGGAAUUACUGGGCGUAAAGCGCGCGUAGGCGGUUUUGCAAGCCAGAGGUGAAAUGCCUGAGCUUAACUUAGGAAUUGCCUUUGGGACUGCGAGGCUUUGAGGACGGAAGAGGUGAGUGGAAUUCCCAGUGUAGAGGUGAAAUUCGUAGAUAUUGGGAAGAACACCGGUGGCGAAGGCGGCUCACUGGUCCGUUUCUGACGCUGUAGCGCGAAAGCGUGGGGAUCAAACAGG
rnacentral:rRNA from 1 species